GACUUCAAGAAAAGGAAUUCCUGUGGAUCCGAGGGAAAGCGGAUACAGGUAAGAAUAUCACCGUUGUGUGUGGAGCCAACAUCCUUUUCAGAUGUAUCACUGAACUGCCCCACGUCUACAUCAACUACUAAUCCUAGUACUACUACUACAACUCCUACAACAACUACUACUGUUGUUACUACUACUGCUGCUGCGGGAACUACUGCUACUGCCGUUGCUUCUGCCACUUCUACUUCUUCCACGACUAAACAAGCAACAAUGGAGCCCAACACAGUCAGCACACAAAAACCGGGAGGAGUAAAACCAUCAGCUGAGACCUCUUCACCAAAGGGUACUGACAUAUCAACUUCAACAAGAGAACCCCAACCUUCAACACCAAGCAAAGAGGUGUUUAUAAUCGGCGGGAGUGUUGGAGGAGCCGUGUUGAUAGCUGUCAUAGUGACAAUCACAGUGUGCGUACGGCGAAGGAAAAGAAACAGUUCAGAGAAUACAGACCAAAAACGUGAAAUCAUGAACGAAAGCCAAGAGAAUGGAUACAGCUCCAACGGUGCCAGGAACUCCGGCGGUGACAAUGGAUGCAUGUCCAACCCAAUCUACGAGGCAACUGAUGACUACAAGAUGGAGCAGUUACACCGGAAUAGCUGUGGUGACGAGGGCUCUGGACAUGAAACCGUGUCUCCUUACGCCCUGUCCGGACCAGCUCGUCCGGGUCUCAGCCUGAAGAAAAACACCUGGGUGACGCAAAGUAAACUGGACUAUUUUGACGAUAUCCUUUUCAAUGACCAGCCCAGUGGAGAAGAUUCAGAAGAGACAAGCGAUGUUCAAGCUUCAGAUCUCUACGCCAAGGUGAACAAGCCACAGCGGACCGAUCAGGUGUCGGAUAUAUAUGCCAAAGUUGACAAGUCAAGGACGACCGUUCGUGGAACAUCCGGGUCGUGCGCUGAUGGAAGUGAGAAUGAUGACGUCGCUACGCUGUACGCAAAGGUUCAGAAGUGACUCGAAAUGAGGACAUCCUUUUCUGUGUGAAUUGAAUGAGUUAGUUUUACGCCGCUUUUAGCAAUAUUUCAGCAAUAUCACGCGGGGAACACAAGAAAUGGACUUCACACAUUAUUUGUUAAGAAAAUGGGCUUCACACAUUAUUUGUUAAGAACACAUGUUGAUUUGUCUAAUAUUUAAUUGUUAUUUAAUGUGUUCUGAAGUAUGUUCUAACGUGUUGAUUAUCUUCCAUUAUAGCUCUUUCGCCUCUAGUUGUUCUUCUGUUCUCGUCUUUGAUUCAUUUUAAAGUGAUGUAUGUUUUGUUAGUGCCUAUUUUGCCUAUUGCUUGUAUUUAUGUAUAAAACAUUUAUAUAUUUGUUAGCAACAGUUUUUAAAUUUUCUUUGCGUUUAAUAUUUCUGCUAUAUUCAUACCUUAUGACCAUGCUGCUUCUGCAUGUCUAUAGUGUCACGUACAGAUCAAAAACAAUAAACACAAAACCUACA
rnacentral:misc_RNA from 1 species